rnacentral:lncRNA from 1 species
AUGUUGACGCUGGAUGAGUAUGAAGAGUUUCAUGUAAAAGAAUUAGGACAACCAAUUUCGUUGAGUAUUGCUUGUCUUUCAUUUGUGGAUAGCAAUGGUGCAGCUAUCAGUGAUGGAAUGAAACAUAACUUUACUUCAUCUACAGAACUCUGCGCCUUUGUUAGCUUAUGUGCCGGAGAAGAUCAGGAAGUCCAAGUAGAAUUACUGAAUGAAGUCCAUGAUGGCAGUAACGCCAAAGCAUUCAAGGAGCCAAUGCUGAAAGGGAACAGUAAACCUCAUCCUCAACCAAGCACAGGUGAAAGUUGUUUCUUCUGCACUCUUAUCAUGAACGCUGUGGAACAAUCAACUGCAAACCGCCAAGUUGACGGGGAAGUGAGACAGGUCAUGACGGGAGCCUGCAAGAAUUCUUCAGUUUCUGUCAGUUACUCAUGUAUGGAUUGGCUACAAAACUACAUUGAUGUCAUGAUAGAUACUCUGUAUGAUUUCACUCCAAAAGAAGUCUGCCAGAGAAUCAAUGUUUGCUCACUUGGCCGCCUCUUCAUGACUCAUGGCAUGCACAAGAAUUCAGCAACAUUGGCUUCAUUUUCAGAUCGUUUGAAGAUAAACCAUGUGGAUCUUCUUCAAGAUAAUGCUAAUAUUGGCAUUCAUGAUGGUGCCAGUAUAUCUUCUAUUUUUGACGACAACAGCAAAUACAACAUCCACAAUAGAAACUCGCCCACAACAGCAGAACAGUUUGAUGACGGAGAAUGCAAAAUGUGUCUAUAUGUUGUGGGGAACGUUAAAGAACAAAUUCCCAAAGCAAAAGGUCAAACUCAGCCGACUGAAAUCCGAAAAUCAUUAAUCGGUCUCUGUAAUUACCUAAGGAAACCAGAAAGCAAGAAAUUAUGUUCCAAUUAUAUUGAAAACUCUGGUGAAAAUGUUAUUGAUGUGCUCUCCAGUGUGAUACCUCAAGAGUUGUGCAUUCUUUUCCUGGCUUGUCCUUCCUCUACAAAUGCUGCAGCUCAGCCAGUUGAUUCAGCGCCAGGGCGCCCAAAUUCCAUGCUGCUCCAGGGACUUUUUCAGGUGGUGAGGACCUUUCUCUUUCUCUUGAACCUCUUAAAGAUGAUGAAAGCAACGACGGCAGUCUUUCAAGUAACGUUCCAGAAAACUCAGUGCAAAGUGCCACAGCAGUACCAAUGCCAGUUCUUGAUACAGAUGAUUGUACGGUUUGUUUCAACAUGGCUAUGA